GAUGAACGCGGGGGGCGUGCUAAUACAUGCAAAGUUGAACGCUGAAAUCUAGCUUGCUAGAUUGAGGGAGUGGCGAACGGGUGAGUAAUACAUAAAGCAACCUACCCACGAAGACUGGGAUAAUCUCUGGAAACGGGGACUAAUACCGGAUAGGUAAUCGGAAGGCAUCUUCUGGUUAUUAAAGGUUAAAAACACUGGUGGAUGGGCUUAUGGCGCAUUAGUUAGUUGGUGAGGUAACGGCCCACCAAGACGAUGAUGCGUAGCCGGCCUGAGAGGGUGAACGGCCACAUUGGGACUGAGACACGGCCCAGACUCCUACGGGAGGCAGCAGUAGGGAAUUUUCGGCAAUGGGGGAAACCCUGACCGAGCAACGCCGCGUGAGUGAUGACGGCCUUCGGGUUGUAAAGCUCUGUUGUAAGGGAAGAACGGUAGAUAGAGAAUAUCUAAAUGACGGUACCUUACCAGAAAGCCACGGCUAACUACGUGCCAGCAGCCGCGGUAAUACGUAGGUGGCGAGCGUUAUCCGGAAUUAUUGGGCGUAAAGGGUGCGUAGGCGGCCUGUUAAGUAAGUGGUUAAAUUGUUGGGCUCAACCCAAUCCAGCCACUUAAACUGGCAGGCUAGAGUAUUGGAGAGGCAAGUGGAAUUCCAUGUGUAGCGGUAAAAUGCGUAGAUAUAUGGAGGAACACCAGUGGCGAAGGCGGCUUGCUAGCCAAAGACUGACGCUCAUGCACGAAAGCGUGGGGAGCAAAUAGG
rnacentral:rRNA from 1 species